rnacentral:rRNA from 1 species
GACACGCUGGCGGCGUGCCUAACACAUGCAAGUCGAGCGGGGUUGAAGCGAGAGGUAACUCGAGCUUCUACCUAGCGGCGGACGGGUGAGUAACGCGUGGGCAACCUGCCUCAAGGUUUGGGAUAACAGCCCGAAAGGGCUGCUAAUACCGGAUAUGCCUAUGGCCUCGCAUGGGGCUAUGAGCAAAGGGGAAACCCGCCUUGAGAUGGGCCCGCGUCCCAUCAGCUAGUUGGUGAGGUAACAGCUCACCAAGGCGACGACGGGUAGCCGGCCUGAGAGGGUGACCGGCCACACUGGGACUGAGACACGGCCCAGACUCCUACGGGGGGCAGCAGUGGGGGAUCUUGCACAAUGGGCGAAAGCCUGAUGCAGCGACGCCGCGUGAGCGAAGAAGGCCUUCGGGUUGUAAAGCUCUGUCUGGAGGGACGAACAAAAUGACGGUACCUCCGGAGGAAGCCACGGCUAACUACGUG